rnacentral:rRNA from 1 species
AUUGAACGCUGGCGGCAUGCCUUACACAUGCAAGUCGAACGGCAGCACGGGAGCAAUCCUGGUGGCGAGUGGCGAACGGGUGAGUAAAGCAUCGGAACGUGCCCAGUCGUGGGGGAUAACGUAGCGAAAGCUACGCUAAUACCGCAUACGAUCUGUGGAUGAAAGCGGGGGACCGUAAGGCCUCGCGCGAUUGGAGCGGCCGAUGUCAGAUUAGGUAGUUGGUGAGGUAAAGGCUCACCAAGCCGACGAUCUGUAGCUGGUCUGAGAGGACGACCAGCCACACUGGGACUGAGACACGGCCCAGACUCCUACGGGAGGCAGCAGUGGGGAAUUUUGGGCAAUGGGCGCAAGCCUGAUCCAGCAAUGCCGCGUGCAGGAUGAAGGCCUUCGGGUUGUAAACUGCUUUUGUACGGAGCGAAAAGGCUUCCACUAAUACUGGGGGCUCAUGACGGUACCGUAAGAAUAAGCACCGGCUAACUACGUGCCAGCAGCCGCCGUAAUAC